GAUGAACGCUGGCGGCGUGCCUAAUACAUGCAAGUCGAGCGAACCACUUCGGUGGUGAGCGGCGAACGGGUGAGUAACACGUAGGUGAUCUGCCCAUCAGACGGGGACAACGAUUGGAAACGAUCGCUAAUACCGGAUAGGACGAAAGUUUAAAGGUGCUUCUGGCACCGCUGAUGGAUGAGCCUGCGGCGCAUUAGCUAGUUGGUAGGGUAAAGGCCUACCAAGGCGACGAUGCGUAGCCGACCUGAGAGGGUGAACGGCCACACUGGGACUGAGACACGGCCCAGACUCCUACGGGAGGCAGCAGUGGGGAAUAUUGCACAAUGGGGGAAACCCUGAUGCAGCGACGCCGCGUGAAGGAUGAAGUAUUUCGGUAUGUAAAACUUCUAUCAAGCAGGGAAGAAGAUGACGGUACCUGACUAAGAAGCCCCGGCUAACUACGUG
rnacentral:rRNA from 1 species